rnacentral:rRNA from 1 species
UUAAAGCAUUGAAUGGAUGCCUUGGCAUAAAAAAAAAGGACGUUUAACAAGACGAAACGUUGCAAAAAGAAGCACUGCGAUUUGCAAAUAUCCGAAAAGUAAACUUAUUGAUUAUAAACACUUUGCGAACUGAAACAUCAUAUUAGCAAAAGGAAAGGAAAUCAACCGAGACUCUGUUAGUAGUGGCGAGCGAACAUGGAAUAGGCAUUGCGUUUUUUUGUUAUUUAAACAAAACUGAAUCUAAAACUUUAUGAUUAAUAAGGUCAACAAAGAGCCAAAGAAGGUACUAGCCCUGUAAGAUUGUUUUUUUAUCAUUUGAAACUGCUACCAUACAGUAUAAUAAAAAUUAUUAAAAUCUUAAGGGGGUCCCAUCCUCCAAGCCUAAGUAUUUUUUGUGACCGAUAGCGUACCAGUACCGUGAGGGAAAGGCGAAAAGAACCCCUGUGAGGGGAGUGAAAUAGAUCCUGAAACCGUAUGCGUACAAGCAGUCGGAGCAGACUUGUUCUGUGACGGCGUACCUUUUGUAUAAUGGGUCAGCGACUUAUGUUCAGUGGCGAGGUUAACCGUUUA